rnacentral:misc_RNA from 1 species
GAUGAAGAACGUAGCGAAAUGCGAUAAGUAAUGUGAAUUGCAGAAUUCCGUGAAUCAUCGAAUCUUUGAACGCAUAUUGCGCUCUCUGGUAUUCCGGAGAGCAUGCUUGUUUGAGUAUCAGUAAACACCUCAACUCCCCUUUCUUUUUUUGAAAUGGGAGCUGGACUUGAGUGAUCCCAACGCUUUUCUCACCGAAAAGUGGCGGGUUACUUGAAAUGCAGGUGCAGCUGGACUUUUCUCUGAGCUAAAAGCAUAUCUAUUUAGUCUGCCUAAAAAACAGAUUAUUACCUUUGCUGCAGCUAACAUAAAGGAGAUUAGUUCUUGUGCUGACUGAUGCAGGAUUCACAGAGACAGCUUCGGCUGGCCUUUGUAAACUCGAUCUCAAAUCAAGUAAGACUACCCGCUGAACUUAAGCAUAUCAAUAAGCGGAGGA